rnacentral:rRNA from 1 species
UACAGAGGGUGCGAGCGUUAAUCGGAAUCACUGGGCGUAAAGCGUCUGUAGGUGGUUUAAUAAGUCAACUGUUAAAUCUUGAGGCUCAACCUCAAAAUCGCAGUCGAAACUAUUAGGCUAGAGUAUAGUAGGGGUAAAGGGAAUUUCCAGUGGAGCGGUGAAAUGCGUAGAGAUUGGAAAGAACACCGAUGGCGAAGGCACUUUACUGGGCUAUUACUAACACUCAGAGACGAAAGCUAGGGUAGCAAAUGGG